AGCGCGUAGGAGGCAAGCGCUGCAGAAUAAAUACUGCAGUCGAGCUGAACGCAAGCUAAAGUUUCUGCCUCAUUGUUUCUGCAUACAGGUGGGUUAAUGUUCCUCACAUUUGCAUGCAUGUACCCCAGUAUAAGGGAUAAGUGUGUUUUUAAUCCUUAGUGAGAACGUGCAAUGUUUAGAGUUGAAUAGAUUUGCCGUAAUGCGUGAAAUAGUGAUGUUUAGCUAUACACUGCCAUGCUAGGCUAGCGGACCUUUUGCUAAUGAGGAACCCACAGUACAAUAGAAACGCUAAUGGUCUAGUUUUGUGUUGUUAACUGAUCUGAAAAGGCAUUCACUGCUAAUGUGUGUGUGUAUAACGCAUUAUGUUAAACGGUUUCCCGGUGUAUGUAAGUAUUGUACUCGACUUAAAAAGUGAUGGAAAUACAGAAAUUUCUGAAUGUGUGACAGAAGAGUAGUACUGCAAUGAGCGGCAAAUGUAUUAGUUACUCACUGUAAGCUUGUACAUUAGUGUUUGAGGUGCAACGUGAUCAAAGUGUCGAACUUGGGAAAAUGUUAGUUAAAAGAACCAAAUGAGUACAAGUUCGUUUUUUGUUGUUCUACUGGUUAAUAUGUAAUUCACGUCAACUGAAGCACAAUGAAAAGUACAGACCUUUUAUAUUGUUUAGUUAGCUGUGCUAUGCUAUCAUUACUUUAGUAUUUUCUGAAGAUAUGGUGAUGUCUUGCAUAUUUGAAAGUACUGUGAAAUACCUGAACAAGCAUUUUGUUUUAUUACUACAGCGAGUCGAACAUUAAUUCCUUUUUUGUUGAAGCAGAAUAAAUACUGCAGUCGAGCUGAACGCAAGCUAAAGUUUCUGCCUCAUUGUUUCUGCAUACAGAAUUUAAGGAACCCCCCCCCCUGUUGUAGGUGACUUAAUGCUGGUGUGAUAUGGGACUUCAAUAAAUGAUAUCCCAUUAGGAAAAAGCAGCAGAGGCAUAACACCUGACUCCCAAUCUGUCACUGAAUAUGACACAGUUCUCCCAGGAGCAGCAGUCAUCAGUCUUUCAGCACGUCUGCCUCUGUAGGAUGUGCACGGUGGCCAGCACUUCAUUGUGAUGUGAUCACUUUGACCUUUUCAUGGGACAUGGACCAAGCUUUGGUUGUCACGCCUCCACUGGGGGCACUGACAUCUAUAGAACAAUGGAGGAAUAAUGAGCUCCCAGUUGAAAUGUAAUUGUUAGGUUUUUCUCUCACUUUGAAAAAUGUUAACACCAGACUAACAAGUGCAAAGUAUUUAAUCCUCAACAGGCAGAGGAUGUUUAUGUCUCUACUUUUGAAAGUGUGAUUGAUCUCACACAGUAAUUAAGCUAAGCUUAAGUGACAUUCAUAUCUUCAAACUGUUCUGUGUUCAGUUUGCAUGUUUGCGAGUUUCUUCCACGUCCAAGUUUCCUUCAACUUCAAAAGACAUCAUUCUGAAUACUCGUACAAUUGCUUUGACUUAUGAUACUGUCCUGACCUCGUCUGUGUUUUCAUACUCAAUACUUACUGUACACUACUUGCCCAGCACCAAUCAACAGACUCAAAAUCAAAAUUUAACAACAAGCUGGUGCCUUUACAAGCUAUAGAGCCAGAUAUUUACUUUAUUCUUCUAUAGAAGUUGGUGGAGACCAAACAGAGCGAAGAGGAGUCUGAUUGUUGGAUUUUUGUCAGGUGGCCAGAAACAUGACUCCAAAUGAAUACUGAUGUCACUCUGUUUCUGCUGGAUGUGCAAAUAAGCAACAAUUUGCCAACACCUUUGGCAUAUCAACUUAUCAUAUUCCCUGUUAUGUUUAAAGCUUGUUGCUCUGUCCCCAAGUGGACAAAAAACAAGUCAUGCAGAUUCAAAGAUUAACUUAACACACCCUGAAAAGUCUGAAUUUGUCUCAUUCUUGGUAAGUUGGGGAAAAAAGCAGCAGAAUUCCCCUAAACUGUACUUUUCCUUUUAUCAUGGAUUGAACUGCUAUGGGCCUUCGGAUCCCAAUUACACUCCCAUUUCUCCCACUCGCUGUGCAAUGUGUACAGCUUUCUACACUGAAAUACAACAUUGCCCCAGAAUUUCAGAAAUACAUUCAUAUAGGAGUUAAAAAUAUAUAACACAGGGACCCACCUUUAGACAUGGCCUAAACAGUAGGUAAAGCAGGACUGUUACUGUAAUGGUACAUAUUUCUGAACAAAAUGUCAAGUAAAUUGGUACAAACGAGCAGUAAGUCUGGAGCUUUCAGGGCACCCUGGAGCUCUGGUGCCUUAGGACAAUUUUCCUCCUUUCCCUCUUUGUGAUCCUCAGAGGAAACCAAGAGGCUAGAAUUUAUAUUUUUCUCCCAUGACACACAUACACCACAGACAUACCCAUUCAUCCCCUCUGAACUGCAUGAACUGCACACACCAGACACUGGACGGUAGCCCAGAGGCUGCCUCACCAUUAGUAUGUCCAUGUGGGAGUGCUGUCAGGAUGAGGAGGUGGCCUUCACCCUGAUCUAAGCCCCUCUGCUCCACCAGCUGCUCUCUGCUCACUUUCACUUCUUUGCUAGCAAGCAAGCAGAGGGAGAGCUGAUGUACACGUCUCACUGUGAGACGCAAAUAGACUGAGAUGUAAAUUCUAAAUGUAAUUUUUGUACAGUAACCUACAUGGUUGAUUGUAUUACACAUUAUUUAAAAAAC